UAGAGAGGGAGAAUAGGGGAGAGAAUAGAGAGUCGGCUGCCUGCUACUGGUAUAUGAGGAAGCAAAUGGAGGAGAUUGCAUAAAAGUUCGGGUGACCACUUCCUUCUCAAUAGCUGUGGCUGGGAUUUUUAUUGUGGUCACCAGUGGCCUCCUAAGGCCUCCUAAAUCAAGUGUUGCAGUGAGUAAGGAAGCUUUCGCUGCCUAACAAAAAUAAUACGUACAUGGUAGUUGUUAAAGUUGUGGAUGAAAAUCCAAGGUUCAUUUUGCGCCCGGGGCCCGGGGUCCGGGGUUCCACACCUUAAGUACCUACGAGAAGAUUGGAAACGCGCGAAAGAAGUUUAUGUAAAAAGCCGAUUUUCGCCGCGUUCUAAAAAAUUGGGUUUUUGACGGAGGGCAUUGAAUUUUUUGGAAGUAACCAUAAUGGUUGGCUACUUUGCCGCUAUCUAAUAAUAGGGAAAAAUAACCCUUCGAAGACGCCAAAAAGUGCAAAAUAAAGAGCUUCGUUAGCUUUAUUACAUUUGUCAUUUUCAAAUUUUUUCAGUUUCAUUUAAUAUAAUGAAUUUCGAAUUGAAAAUGAGAUUUGUCAUUUUUGCCCAUUUCUUCCCUUCUAUCCCACCCCGCGGUUUUGUCGCGUUUUCCCCUUUGUUUCAUUUUUGGAGGUGGGAAAUUUUCCUUUGCUCUAGUAGGCGAUAUUUACCCUUCCUAACUAUUUCCACAGCUGAUUCGACGUAUUACAGAAAUAUUUUGAAAGAGAUUGACAUGAGGGUAAAUAUCUGUUGUGUUAAACUCUUAAACAAAUUGUUGCAAAAUCGUACCUAGAUUUUAAGACAAAAUUGAAGGUUAAAUUCCAAUCAGCUGUUUUGGUUUGCUUGACUGCUGACGUCUGGGACUCGCUUAAACGAAGCUUUUUGGGUAUUACGCCUCAUUGGCUAGAACUAAGACGAGUCUGUCGACCAGAAAAUCAGCUGGGAUAAAGUGUAAACGUUAUGAAGGUGACAUUCAUUAUUAUUUCACUUUCCUUUAAAAUGAUUUAUAGUUAUACAUCUUGAUAAUUGCAAUAGGACAUUAUACGUAUGAUAGAAUAGCUGAAAUGAUAGAUGGUGUUGUGACAGAUUUCAUCUUGCUACGUCGAGUGCUAAAGCCAAUUCUAUAGUAACAGAUAACGGAUGAAACUUUGUUAAAG